rnacentral:rRNA from 1 species
GACGAACGCUGGCGGCGUGCUUAACACAUGCAAGUCGAACGGAAAGGCCCUGCUUGCAGGGUGCUCGAGUGGCGAACGGGUGAGUAACACGUGGGUGAUCUGCCCCUUACUUUGGGAUAAGCCUGGGAAACUGGGUCUAAUACUGGAUAGGACCAUGCUGUAGGUGGUGUGGUGGAAAGAUUAGUUUCGGUAAGGGAUGAGCUCGCGGCCUAUCAGCUUGUUGGUGGGGUAAUGGCCUACCAAGGCGUCGACGGGUAGCCGGCCUGAGAGGGUGGACGGCCACAUUGGGACUGAGAUACGGCCCAGACUCCUACGGGAGGCAGCAGUGGGGAAUAUUGCACCAUGGGAGCAAGCCUGAUGCAGCGACGCCGCGGGGGGGAUGACGGCCUUCGGGUUGUAAACUCCUUUCAGCCAUGACGAAGCCCUUGUGGUGACGGUAGUGGUAGAAGAAGCACCGGCUAACUACGUG